UACGGAGGGUGCGAGCGUUGUCCGGAAUCACUGGGCGUAAAGGGCGCGUAGGCGGCUUGGGAAGUCUGUGGUGAAAGCUCGUGGCUCAACUGCGAGUCGGCCAUAGAUACUCCUAAGCUCGAGUCGACUAGAGGCAGAUGGAAUUCCGGGUGUAGCGGUGGAAUGCGUAGAGAUCCGGAGGAACACCUGUGGUGUAGACGGCUUUCUGGACCGUAGCUGACGCUGAGACACGAAAGCGUGGGUAGCAAACAGG
rnacentral:rRNA from 1 species